rnacentral:pre_miRNA from 1 species
AUCAGGGCUUGUGGAAUGGGAAGGAGAAGGGACGCUUCCCCUUCUGCAGGCCUGCUGG